GGAUCAUUAACGAAUGGCGAGCAUAAGUUGCUCAGUCUCAGUCCGUCUCAGUCUCAGUCAGUCCCACGUCUUGGUCCCGCGGCGGUCGUGCAUGAAGCGCUGCCGUGGGACUGUGUCCGCUCAGUCUUUCGGGGUACCUACCACUGUCCUCGAUGCGACCCACGGUGACGGCUUAGAGCCCGAGUGCUCGCCGGGUCGCGACGGUUCAAAGAGUGGCCGGCCGCACCCACCACAUGUCAUGUGUGUGUGUGUGGNCGGCGACCGCCCCACUCGUGCUCGUCGUCCCACAAACUGGCAAACGAACGGGAGGUUUCGUCCGUCCGGGGUACCUAUGCCCUGCAAGCGUGCUCGCAUGCAGGGUGGUAGCUCCAGCUCGUCACUUUGGCCGCGAGGUUCAAAGAGUCGGCCGUGCCAUUCACGCUCUCGAUGGCACCGGUCGCCGCCCCGGGCCUCCCAAAUUUUUCCUUUACAAAACACAAAAUUAAUUUUGUCGAACGCCGAUCUGGUCAGGCCACGACCGGUCGGUGGGUGCAAGUCCGAAAUAAAAAAAAGUCUAUAACUUUGAGCGGUGGAUCACUCGGCUCGUGCGUCGAUGA
rnacentral:misc_RNA from 1 species